UACGUAGGGUGCAAGCGUUAAUCGGAAUUACUGGGCGUAAAGCGUGCGCAGGCGGUUUUGUAAGUCUGACGUGAAAUCCCCGGGCUCAACCUGGGAACUGCAUUUGUGACUGCAUUGCUGGAGUGCGGCAGAGGGGGAUGGAAUUCCGCGUGUAGCAGUGAAAUGCGUAGAUAUGCGGAGGAACACCGAUGGCGAAGGCAAUCCCCUGGGCCUGCACUGACGCUCAUGCACGAAAGCGUGGGGAGCAAACAGG
rnacentral:rRNA from 1 species